rnacentral:rRNA from 1 species
UACGUAGGGUGCGAGCGUGUCCGGAAUUAUUGGGCGUAAAGAGCUCGUAGGCGGCUUGUCGCGUCGAUGUGAAAACCCGAGGCUCAACCUCGGGCGUGCAUCCGAUACUGCUCGGCUAGAGGUAGGUAGGGGAGAUCGGAAUUCCUGGUGUAGCGGUGAAAUGCGCAGAUAUCAGGAGGAACACCGGUGGCGAAGGCGGAUCUCUGGGCCUUACCUGGACGCUCGAGGCGCGAAAGCCUAGGGGAGCGAACUGG